GAUGAACGCUAGCGGGAGGCCUAACACAUGCCAGCCGAGCGGUAGAGUUCCUUCGGGAACUUGAGAGCGGCGUACGGGUGCGUAACACGUGUGCAACCUACCUUUAUCUGGGGGAUAGCCUUUCGAAAGGAAGAUUAAUACCCCAUAAUAUAAUGAUUGGCAUCAAUUAUUAUUGAAAACUCCGGUGGAUAGAGAUGGGCACGCGCAAGAUUAGAUAGUUGGUGAGGUAACGGCUCACCAAGUCAAUGAUCUUUAGGGGUCCUGAGAGGGAGAUCCCCCACACUGGUACUGAGACACGGACCAGACUCCUACGGGAGGCAGCAGUGAGGAAUAUUGGACGAUGGGUGAAAGCCUGAUCCAGCCAUCCCGCGUGAAGGAUGACGGUCCUAUGGAUUGUAAACUUCUUUUGUACAGGGAUAAACCUACUCUCGUGAGGGUAGCUGAAGGUACUGUACGAAUAAGCACCGGCUAACUCCGUG
rnacentral:rRNA from 1 species